CCUCGCUGUCUGUCUGGCCCACAGGGAGCCGAGGCCGAGGCCGAGCCCGGCCGGGCAGGAGGGGCGGGCAGGGUGCUCAGGGGCCCCGAAGGGUCUGGGCUGACGAGAAGGGUCUCCCGCUCUCCCAGGGAAACGGGAGCGAGGAGUGGGCUUCCAUGAAAACUGGCAGAUUGGAGAGAGGUCGGAGACCGCCACCCGAUCUUGGGCAAGGAUAAGGGAAGCUGGGGAGACAACAGUCUCUGGGCAGAACCUUCGACAACCCUCAGGCUGACCCAGAAAAGUAGACAAGGCGGUUUGGGAAGACAUGUCAGCCAGAAGAAAGAGCGAGGGAAGAAAGACAAGAAGGACCUGAGAUAGAGUUUCGGUUUUCCUUUUUUUCUCUCUCUCUUUAUUAAGCCCAACCUGCCUUCUACAACGGAGAAGUUUUGGUUUUCUAAGAGCUGAUGGACUUAGAAGCAUUUGGAUGAACAGCUCUGCUUACCAACUGAAAUAUCCCUAUUAUCUUCUAAAAGUGGAGCACUGCUUUGAGCCCUGGGAAGGCUUAAAGGCAACCAGCUCUCCCGAGUUGAUUUAUCAGCAGAAAACUGAUGGAAUGUAGAUGUAGCUCCUGACUUUAAGAGACCACAAUGGAAGGGAGGUUAUUUUCUAUCAUUUGAGGUCAUGUGAAAGAGAGGAGGAAAAGGGAAAGAGUUCGUGUAGCCAGACUUCGUUACUUCACUUACCCUAACUUCACCUUGAUCCUAGUUUCAGCCUCUCUGAAGACUUACAAAUCUGGUAGACCCGAGAGCAGGGCCUAUGGGAAGGUCUAGCUCGAAACAGUGUGGGCGAGCAGGAGGUACUGGAGAGAAGGCCACACUGUGGUUGAAAAAAAAAAAAACCCUAAAAGACAAAACACUCAUGAAUGAUAGUAAUUUUAAAAAGACAUACCAGCCAGGCACAGUGGCUCACUCCUGUAAUCCCAGCACUUUGGGAGGCCAAGGUGGGAGGACUGCUUGAGCCCAGGAGAUCAAGACUGCAGUGAGCAGUGAUCACACCACACCACACUCAAGCAGAGGGAGACUCUGUCUCAAAAAAUAAAAAUAAAUACAUAAAAAUAAAAGACAUACAAUUGAUUGUA